rnacentral:rRNA from 1 species
UACGGAGGGUGCAAGCGUUAUCCGGAUUCACUGGGUUUAAAGGGUGCGUAGGUGGGUUGAUAAGUCAGUGGUGAAAUCCCCGAGCUUAACUUGGGAACUGCCAUUGAUACUAUUGAUCUUGAAUACCGUGGAGGUCAGCGGAAUAUGUCAUGUAGCGGUGAAAUGCUUAGAUAUGACAUAGAACACCGAUAGCGAAGGCAGCUUGCUACACAAUUAUUGACACUGAGGCUUGAAAGCGUGGGGAUCAAACAGG